GUGAAUCGUCGAAUUUUUGAACGCAAAUUGCGCCUUCUUUCGGGAGGCAUGUCUGUUUGAUUGCACCAUUUAACAAAUAAUGUGCGCGUCGUCUGUGCAUACUAGCGGCGUGCACACGUUGAUGAGCUUUUCCGAGAAAACCAGGAUUUUUCGGUGGCGCAUAAUGAACAUCGUGGGCUUUUUCUUUCGGUUAUCGUCUCGUAAGUAAAUUUCGACGCCUGGGUCGGGAAAAAG
rnacentral:misc_RNA from 1 species